rnacentral:rRNA from 1 species
GGGGCCCGCAAGGGCAACCGGCGAACGGGUGCGUAACACGUGAGCAGGCUUCCGAUUUGUGGGGGAUAACCGGCCCAACGGCCGGGUAAUACCGCAUACGUUCACUGGACGGCAUCGUCUGGUGAGGAAACCUCCGGGGCAAAUCGAGGCGCUCGCGGCCUAUCAGCUAGUUGGCGGGGUAACGGCCCACCAAGGCUUAUGACGGGUAGCUGGUCUGAGAGGAUGGCCAGCCACAUUGGGACUGCGACACGGCCCAGACUCCUACGGGAGGCAGCAGUGGGGAAUAUUGCGCAAUGGACGAAAGUCUGACGCAGCGACGCCGCGUGUGGGAUGAAGCUCUUCGGGGUGUAAACCACUGUUGCCCGGGACGAAACUCCUUUUUCGAAAGGACUGACGGUACCGGGUGAGGAAGCACCGGCUAACUCUGUGCCAGCAGCCGCGGUAAUACAGAGGGGGCAAGCGUUGUCCGGAAUCAUUGGGCGUAAGGAGCGUGUAGGCUGUCCGAUAAGUCCGCUGUGAAAGUCCAGGGCUCAACCCUGGAAUGCCGGUGGAUACUGUCGGGCUCGAGUCCGGAAGAGGCGAGUGGAAUUCCUGGUGUAGCGGUGAAAUGCGCAGAUAUCAGGAGGAACACCAAUGGCGAAGGCAGCUCGCUGGGACGGUAC